rnacentral:rRNA from 1 species
AACGAACGCUGGCGGCAGGCUUAACACAUGCAAGUAGAGCGCCCCGCAAGGGGCGCGGCAGACGGGUGAGUAACGCGUGGGAAUCUACCCAUCUCUACGGAAUAACGCAUGGACACGUGUGCUAAUACCGUAUACGUCCUUCGGGAGACAGAUUUAUCGGAGGUGGAGGAGCCCGCGUUGGAUUAGCUAGUUUGUGGGGUAAAGGCCUACCAAGGCGACGAUCCAUAGCUGGUCUGAGAGGAUGAUCAGCAACGCUGGGACUGAGGCACGGCCCCGACUCCUACGGGAGGACGCAUUGGGUUAUGUUGGACAAUGGGCUCAGGCCUGAUCCGGCCCUGCAGCGUGAGUGAUGAAGGCCCUGUGGUUGGAAAGCGCUUUCACCUGUUAGGAUCGUGACGGUAACCGGAGAAGAAGCCCCGGCUAACUUCGUGCCAACCGCCGCGGUAAAAC